UGUUUUUUAGCUAAAUGGUAUAGCAUUUCAAUUAGGAUGAAAGGGAUGCAGGUUCGAAUCCUGCAAAAGCAACCA
rnacentral:tRNA from 1 species